UAGCGGCUCAUAUUCCGUUUUACAGACAUUCACAUAGCUUCAUUAGAUUCAACAGAUUUACAAAGUUUAUUGUGUGUGUUUGUGUUGGCCGCUUUCCAUUACUCGCUUUUAUCAUUUAUGAUGCUUAACUACUGUUUAUGAAUAUGAGGUCGCGAAAAGAGCGCCUAGCGCAAAACAGAAGACGAGAGUCGUUAAUGGACUAUCUAGUCACCGUACUUCAAAAUCAAGUUCGAUAUAUAUUUCUUGGUGAUUUUCCAAUUUCCAAACGGCGGUAAAAUGUUUUGUUCUCUGUUGUAUAACAGGAUAAUGUGAGAACCAGAGGUGGUGUUUGACGCGAAUGGAUGAUGAAUUGAUAUCGCAAUUAAUUAGAAAGAAAUGCGCCGAAUCGAUUACAGAGAUAAUCGGUAGAUGCCGCAGAUUUCACGCCAUGCAGUUAGAAAACGGACCGCUGUUCACUUUAGAUUCCAUCUUCAACGAAGUCCUUUAAGAUGCGGAAAUCUAAUUUAUUCCAACGGUCGUGAAAGAAUCAAGUGAGAGCAUGUUGCCGCUCAAUACCAGCGACGCUAAUUUCGUCCAGUCUGAUGCCAUUUUUGUGACGUCACCAGAAUCCAGCACUUCAGUAGAUGUCGAGUCGCGGAAAAACGAUAAGGAGGCUUUAUUUUACAUUAUCACAGUGCUUAUGUUUUACGCUGUGAGUAUUGUCAUUCUGAUGGUGAAGUACCUGCGUCAGGAGAAACAGGAAGCGGAGUACACUAACUACUAUUAUGAGUACGUGUCACGUGACAAAUUUCAGGACCCGCUAUAUCAAAACUCGCUCAGUGUACAGCGAACAAUGAGGGCGGUGAAUGGCAGAAAAAGUAAAGUUGUUCCUAGAGAGGAUAUAGCAUACACUAGAUUGGCAUUUUCAGAAACAAGCGUCUAGAGCAAGUUUUUUGGGUUUUUUGUUUUUUUGUUUUUUGUUAUCGGAGGGAUACCAAAUGUGCUGAAGGGUUGGAUCACGUGACAUAUAUACGUGUACUCUUUCGAUAAAGCAGCAGGAAGGGUAUAUCUUGUCAUGUAAGAAUGUAAAUGAAUAUGGAGAAAAAUGUGAAAAUACAGACCCUGACUGUCUAGGAUGUUUUCAAAUAACAGUCUACUUCCUAUGUCCUGUAAUAUCGAUGGUAUUUGAACUUCUUUUUUUUUUGACAGUGUAGAUGAAAGUCUUAAGAUUAGAGAACAAUACUCGUUGCGGAAAACAUUUAUUCAAAUGGAUUGUUGUGGAGUGCGUGGCUAUAAUGCACAAGAAGAGUGACUCUAAGUCUUCAGUACAAAUAUUUUUAAUGGUUUUGUCAGUAUAAAUUUUGUUAGUA